AGUGAGUCGGGUCAUGCGUCGUGCUCUGGCUGACUCCUGCGCCAUGACCAGUGACCCCGGUCUUGCGGCUGGGUGUGGGCGUUCGCUUUUGCUGUAGCGCAGCCGGUAGUGUUCCCUCACAUCUCGAGACCCGCAUCCCGUCCUUCUCUCUCCUCCUCCUUUCUCCUCGCCAGCCAUCAAUCCGCCUCCUCGCUGCUCCGUUUACUCCACCGAUUUCUCUCUGGCUGCCGGCCUCCCAGCCCCCACCUCACAACGGCAUUUCCUGAGGAGCAGCGCGAGCGAGGCCAACAGGCGGAAGGAUCGGAUCGUGGCCUCGCACGCUGGCUCGUCAUCUGCUUUGGCACCUUUCGGAUCUGCGCUGCUGCGUGCGAUGGUUCUAAAUCAGUGCAGGUCAUCGCCGCGGGAUAGUAGGGCCGGCGGAUUCUUCGCAUCGGGGGCUGGCUGGCAGGGGAGGGUUAGGAGGCCGGCAUGACUUGCUAACGAGCAUAGGUCGGCCGCGCUCUCGCUUUGACCGCUUUGCUCUCUUUCUCCUCCUCGUUGUGUUGCGCUCUCUCUCUCUCUUCGAUUGGAUUGCCUCUCCUUCACCGGUGGUGCUCUCGUCGGCUGCAAUGUCGUCCAUACUCUGGACGGGACUGUUGGUUGAGAUUCGUUCUCCUUUCCUGAUCUUGUCGUGUACCCUUAUUUUUUCUAUGCCCUGCUGAUUUCGUGUUCUUCCUUCGGCGAUUAAUUGAGGUGACACCACGCUCCAUUUUCUUUUCUGCAAGAUGUUUGAUGAAAUGCAUAUUUGUUAACCUUUUUUGCGUUCAGUUCAUUUUGCUUGUUGUUCAUCCUUGGCCUUAUGGUCCGUCUUUCCUCCUUUUCUAGCCUACUUCUCCUUUCCAGUUCGGGUAAAUGGAUUGCUCUUUUGCUUGUCUGUGGAUGACUAUUCUUUUACCUCUGUGCACCGAUCCACAUCAUGCGUGUGCUUUGACUACUUCAUCUCUGUUUAUUUAGCUGGUUCUAGGACCUCCUUUGUUGCUGCAUCUUGAGCUCCUACUUUGCUGUAACUAUGUCCUGCUGCUUGAUGUUUGCUUCCUUUCUUUCUAGCUACAUGCUUAUUCUUUCUAGCCACAUGCAUGUUUUCCUUUUCCUAUGGGAAAUAGUUCAGUUAUAUUUAUCAGUAGCAUAUCUAUGUUUAUAGAUACAUACUAGGAAUGUGCUUCUUUAGUGUGGCCUUCUCUUUUUUAUGCAAGAAGUGUGCCUUCUCUAAUCUGACAAUCAUCUUAUUUGUUGUUCUAAAUAAUUACUGCAGGAUGGAGCAGCAGGCAUAGAUGAAAUCUACUGCCAAUUUCUAUUGGUUGUGGCAUCUUCCGCUGAGUAACUCUACGAAACAGCCUGCUAGCAUUGAUUCUUGCAAUAAAAAAAUAAGUCUAGCAUCAUUCAUAAAAAGCUUAUAGACUUAGAUAAUUUCUUAAUCUUGCACUGGUUCUCACCAGUGAGAUUGUAGAUGUGGUAUUUUGAGAAUACCAGUGUAAUUCACUGGUCCAAAAGCUCCAUUUCUUAAUGUGUUUUUGCAGAAUGCUACCAGUAAUGUUUUUCUUUUCCUUAAUGUACAAACAUAUCUAUUAGAUAUGAUUUUGGAUCUGAACUUUUCCCUGUCUGCAGCUCACAUUGUGGUCUGGUCAUGGUACAGCAAAAGGAAAAGAUGUUUAAACUUUUUUUGGGCGUCAUACAUGAAAAGUACCUUUAUUUCCAUCGAGCUUAAUUACUAAGAAAAUGUUACCACUAUUUCCUUACUAAUAAACCUAAAUGUUCUGAAAGUUCGGUCUCUUGCUCUCUUUGCUUAUGAAUCGGACACUUUGCCUUUCUUUAGUCCUUGCAUGGUUCCACCUCGCUUUGACUUCAUACUUUGAUGGUGUUUGUAGGUAUGAAGAGUGGUCAUAAUGUUACUUAAAGGAGGCCUCAACUCGCACCAAAUACAUGGGCAUGUGCAACAACAACUUAUGUAGUUAGGAGGCUGAAGGUAGUAGCUUACUGAACUCUCAUUUCCGGAAAAAUCUGGAGAUGUCUUGUUUGUACAAUCUCUAAAGAUGGUGCUCCAUUGUUCUGUUAAUCAAGAUUUGUUCCCUCCUUUCUUACUAGCUGAUACGUGAUGACCGUUUGCACGGGGGGUUAUGUUAACUAUAUUCUAUUCAUGAUUCAAACUUUUUGUUGGGUAAUUUAGUUUAGACAUUGUGUCCUGAGAAUCUUGAUAUCUAGCUGUAUCGGUAUAGUAUAGUUUGUGAUUUUUCCCUCUGAAUUUAUAUAUCCACUCAGGUUGGGAUAGGUUAUGAGUAUUCUUAGUGUGGAAACAGCGGCAGUGCUGCACUUUCAUCAGAUGAUGAUAUGCCAACCUUGCGCCAUUUGGCUCUAUGUUACCCGAAUAAGAUAACAAAAUACACAUGCUCAAGUAUAUAUUUUCAAAGA